GGAAGGAUCAUUACCGAAUUGUUAACACGAGUUGUUGCUGGUCCUCAAAUGGGGGCAUGUGCACGCUCUGUUCAUAACAUCCACUCACACCUGUGCACACACUCCAUAGUUCCUGUGGCUUUUGGGGGGGGAGGGGGCUCUGUUCUCUUCCUGCCCGCUGCGGUUCUAUGCAUUUACACAUAUACACCCUGUAAUAAAGUUUUAUGGAAAGGAUGUCGCGUUUAACGCAAUAAAAUACAACUUUCAGCAACGGAUCUCUUGGCUCUCGCAUCGAUGAAGAACGCAGCGAAAUGCGAUAAGUAAUGUGAAUUGCAGAAUUCAGUGAAUCAUCGAAUCUUUGAACGCACCUUGCGCCCUUUGGCUAUUCCGAAGGGCAUGCCUGUUUGAGUAUCAUGAACAUCCUCAACUCCUCACGGCUUGCCGUGAUUGAGCUUGGACUUUGGAGGCUUUGCUGGCUUGCAGGUCGGCUCCUCUCAAAUGGAUCAGCUUUACCAGUGUUCCGGUGGGCAUCACAUGUGUGAUAACUAUCUGCGCUUGUGGUUUUCUGCUGGGUAACCUUCGUCACUGAAGGUUCACUGGGGCUCAUAAAUGUCUCUCCUCAGCGAAGACAGCUCUUGAACGUUUGAUCUCAAAUCAGGUAGGACUACCCGCUGAACUUAAGCAUAUCAAUAAGCGGAGGAAAAGAAACUAACAAGGAUUCCCCUAGUAACUGCGAGUGAAGCGGGAUGAGCUCAAAUUUAAAAUCUGGCGUGCCUCUGGUCGUCCGAGUUGUAGUCUGGAGAAGCGUUUUCCGUGUUGGACCGUGUAUAAGUCUCUUGGAACAGGGCGUCAUAGAGGGUGAGAAUCCCGUCUUUGACACGGACUACCAAUGCUUUGUGAUGCGCUCUCAAAGAGUCGAGUUGUUUGGGAAUGCAGCUCAAAAUGGGUGGUAAAU
rnacentral:rRNA from 1 species